rnacentral:rRNA from 1 species
CCCUUAGAUGUCCUGGGCCGCACGCGCGCUACACUGACAUGUUCAACAAGUUUCUCCUAGUUCGACAGGACUGGGAAAUCUUUGAACGCAUGUCGUGAUAGGGAUAGAUCAUUGCAAUUAUUGAUCUUGAACGAGGAAUUCCUAGUAAACGCGAGUCAUCAGCUCGCAUUGAUUACGUCCCUGCCCUUUGUACACACCGCCCGUCGCACCUACCGAUUGAAUGUUUCGGUGAAGAUUCCGGAUAGGACUGAUUUGAUUUAUUUCAUUUCUGACCUAAAAGCUAUCUAAACCUAAACAUUUAGAGGAAGGUGAAGUCGUAACA